rnacentral:rRNA from 1 species
UGGGCAACCUGCCCCCGACCCUGGGAUAACCCCGGGAAACCGGAGCUAAUACCGGAUACUCUCCUCCGACCACAUGGUCAGAAGAGGAAAGGUCCGCCGGUCGGGGAUGGGCCCGCGGCCUAUCAGCUUGUUGGUGGGGUAACGGCCUACCAAGGCAUCGACGGGUAGCUGGUCUGAGAGGACGACCAGCCACACUGGGACUGAGACACAGCCCAGACUCCUACGGGAGGCA